UAGCGCUGAGCCGUUCACGAACCUCUCAUAUCUCUUUCGCCUUUUACUAAAGAGAUCAGCGAGUACGGCUCACAAGAGGCGCAUAUCCCCAUUAUUAGCAAGGCUUUUGCCUUCA
rfam:Volvox carteri f. nagariensis unplaced genomic scaffold VOLCAscaffold_129, whole genome shotgun sequence.